rnacentral:rRNA from 1 species
ACGAACGCUGGCGGCGUGCUUAACACAUGCAAGUCGAACGGGGGUUACCGACCGGAAGUUUUCGGAUGGAAGGAUGGUAACUCUAGUGGCGAACGGGUGAGUAACGCGUGAGGAACCUGGCCUAAACAGGGGGAUAACAACGGGAAACCGUUGCUAAUACCGCAUAAGACCACGCUCUCGCAUGGGAGAGGGGUAAAAGGAGCAAUCCGGUUUAGGAGGGACUCGCGUCCCAUUAGCUAGUUGGUGAGGUAAGGGCCCACCAAGGCGACGAUGGGUAGCCGGUCUGAGAGGAUGAACGGCCACACUGGGACUGAGACACGGCCCAGACUCCUACGGGAGGCAGCAGUGGGGAAUAUUGGGCAAUGGGGGAAACCCUGACCCAGCAACGCCGCGUGAGGGAAGAAGGUUUUCGGAUUGUAAACCUCUGUCCUAAGGGAAGAAGGAAGUGACGGUACCUUAGGAGGAAGCCCCGGCUAACUACGUGCCAGCAGCCGCGGUAAUACGUAGGGGGCGAGCGUUGUCCGGAAUUAUUGGGCGUAAAGGGUGCGUAGGCGGCGAAGCAAGUCAGAUGUGAAAGACCACGGCUUAACUGUGGGGGUGCAUUUGAAACUGUUUUGCUAGAGUGCAGGAGAGGGAAGCGGAAUUCCUAGUGUAGCGGUGAAAUGCAUAGAUAUUAGGAGGAACACCAGUGGCGAAGGCGGCUUUCUGGACUGUAACUGACGCUGAGGCACGAAAGCGUGGGGAGCAAACAGGAUUAGAUACCCUGGUAGUCCACGCCGUAAACGAUGGAUACUAGGUGUAGGGGGUAUAGACUCCCUCUGUGCCGGAGUAAACGCAAUAAGUAUCCCGCCUGGGGAGUACGGCCGCAAGGUUGAAACUCAAAGGAAUUGACGGGGGCCCGCACAAGCAGCGGAGCAUGUGGUUUAAUUCGAAGCAACGCGAAGAACCUUACCAGGGCUUGACAUCCCGCGCAAUACGUGGAAACAUGUAGUUCCCUUCGGGGACGCGGAGACAGGUGGUGCAUGGUUGUCGUCAGCUCGUGUCGUGAGAUGUUGGGUUAAGUCCCGCAACGAGCGCAACCCUUACCAUUAGUUACCAGCAGUAAGAUGGGGACUCUAAUGGGACUGCCGGGGAUAACUCGGAGGAAGGUGGGGACGACGUCAAAUCAUCAUGCCCCUUAUGUCCUGGGCUACACACGUGCUACAAUGGCCGAAGACAGAGGGAAGCGAAACCGUAAGGAGGAGCGAAUCCCAGAAAAUCGGUCCCAGUUCGGAUUGUGGGCUGCAACCCGCCCACAUGAAGUCGGAGUUGCUAGUAAUCGCGAAUCAGCAUGUCGCGGUGAAUACGUUCCCGGGCCUUGUACACACCGCCCGUCACACCAUGGGAGUUGGGAGCACCCGAAGCCGGUGAGCUAACCGCAAGGAGGCAGCCGUCGAAGGUGAGAUCAAUGACUGGGGUG